UUCUUUUUUUGCCAGAGUAUCAGGACCCUCUGGUUUAAAAAUCCGUUCUCUUCCCUCGCUUCUCCCCACAAUCCCCCUGUCACUCUUCCUCCACUCCCCCCUUUGGGGACGUUCCGGGCUGGGGACAGGGACCCGGAGAUUCCAGAGGACGAGCGUUCUUAGGGCACGACAGAGGCAGGAGACAGCCCGGGUCUUCACGCCAGUGAAGUGGUGCUUGAGUCCGGUUGUGUCUGAAGAAUUGCUGAGGCUAUUGUGACAACUGAGGGCAAAGAAGGAAAAACAGAAGCCAAGAAAACUCUCCAAAGUCCUGGAAUUGGUGCUGUUACAAGGGCUGCUAUUCAUUUCUGACUUCCUCACCUUUUGCUACAAAGGAAAAAGAAAUCGAAUGAUGUGUCUACAUUUGACGAGAAGAAAACACUAACAAUAGCAGUGUAGGUUCGAAAGUCAUUGUGCGGAGAGGGCAGGAGUGAAUUAAGGCCCCGGGGACUGCGGACGUGGGGCAAAGAGACUGCCUGAAAUACGAGCUGAACCUGUUUUGUGAGAUGCACUUGGAUUUGGGAGUCGGGG